GUUUUUACAGCCACACCCAUAGCAUGUGGAAGUUCCCAGGCUAGGAGACGAAUCAGAGCUACAGCUGCCAGCCACAGCCACAGCCACAGCAGAUACAGGCCACAUCUGCAAACUACACCACAGCUCACAACAAUGCUAGAUACUUAAACCACUGAGCGAGGCCAAGGAUGGAACCAGUAUCCUCAUGGAGACUAUGUCAGGUUCUUAACCUGCUGAGCCACAAUGGGAACUCCCCAUAAAUCAAAGUUUUUAAGAAACUAAAAGACCAAAGGAAGAUGUAUUUGCAAAAUACAAAGAGAGCGGAUUAACCAAAUUCAUUCUUCUGUCUACCCUUAAUUCAAACUAUCCCGCCUUUUAUGCCUCUUUUAUCAAUCUGCUUGUUCUGUUUUCAUCUUGUAUUGUUCUUCCAAAUAUUUUAAAUUUCUUCUUUAAAAGGGCUUUUAGAGCUUGGAACAUACUGAUUCUUUUAUCUAUUUAGAUAAUUCUGUUAUCGCAAAGACUCGAAUUUCUUGUGCAGGGCUAAGGUACAUGUUACGAGUUGACCUUAGGGCUUGCUGCUCCACAUACAUAAUAUAAAUUCAGAUGUAUCUUUUUCCCUUUCGGAGAACUGGACAGAGGCAUGUUGGUAGAGGGGGUUUUUUUUGGUGUCCUCUCCAUUAAUCGGGCUGAGUUUCAAGCAUCUCUGCUCUGUGCAGUGGUCUCAGCGCUAACUCUUUGCCCCAAACCUCAACUCCUGUCCUCCUGAUGCUCUUGCUGUCGGGUAAAUUUCUAGGUCAGCUAACUCCCCACUUCCACCCCGGGCACGCAGCUGUGAAUCACACUGCAGUGCUCUGGCUUUUGGUCCCUCUUUCUUCCUAGCAUCUGACGGUCUCUGGUUCUUGUGUGCUCAUGGAUGGCAGGAAACCUGAGGGGAAUGAAUUCUACGGCAUUUAGAGAGAUGUUUGGCAUAUUCAGACAUGGUUGUUUUAAUCCAAAGUUUAAGAAAGAUGGGGACUGGGAGGGAGACUAUACAAAGAAGACAGGAAGUCAGACUGUUAAGGAUCUGGUGUUGUCACUGUUGUGGCUCAGGUCACUGGUGUGGCACGGGUUCGACCCCUGGCCAGGGAAGCUUCACAUGCUGCAGGCGCGGCCACAAGGAAAAAAGGAAGAGAAAGGAGGACGUCGGAACCUCUACUGGACUGUACAGGCAAGGAGACUGGCCUGCCUUGGAGGGUCCGUCCCUGGACCGUCUGGACACAGGCCCGCGUUUGCGAGAUGAAGCCCUCGUGGUUCCCAGACCCGAGUCCACACCCCGCUCUUCCUGUAACCCGUCCAUUAAAUGGAGUUCCGGCCCUUGGACUGUGGAUCCCAAGCUUUUCGCCAUUUUUCCACUGGGGGCACCUCUGUCCAGUGCAGUCCUUACACUGGCUCAACAGCAGUUGCUCGACAUAUAAAUGGGCGUUAGGCCAGCGGUUUUUUGUUGGCAUGUCUGUAUGCACGUCCCUCUGUAUGUAUAUGCGUAUGCAUUUUGGCCCCUCCGUCAGCGUGCAGAAGUUCCCCAGGCCAGAGAUGGAACCUGUGCCACAGUAGUGACGAUGCCAAAUCCUCAACCCACUAAGCCACCAGGAAACUCCCAGGCCAAAGCUUCAAAAGGAUGGGGUGCUGGGGUCAUGUGGGAGCACGUUCCAGAAAAGCCAUAUCGACACGUCAGGCGCGUCCUACAUCCUCAGACUGCAGGAGACUUGGGUCUGCGCAUGUCCUUUCAAGUCUUGGAGGGGACUCUGCUGC
rnacentral:lncRNA from 1 species